AGUGAACGCUGGCGGCAGGCCUAAUACAUGCAAGUCGAACGGCAGCACAGCAGAGCUUGCUCUGUGGGUGGCGAGUGGCGGACGGGUGAGGAAUACGUGGGAAUCUGCCCAGUCGUGGGGGAUAACGUAGGGAAACUUACGCUAAUACCGCAUGCGCCCUUCGGGGGAAAGCCGGGGACCUUCGGGCCUGGCGCGAUUGGAUGAGCCCACGUCGGAUUAGCUAGUUGGCGGGGUAAAGGCCCACCAAGGCGACGAUCCGUAGCUGGUCUGAGAGGAUGGUCAGUCAGACCGGAACUGAGACACGGGCCGGACACCUACGGGUGGCUGCAGUCGAGAAUCUUCGGCAAUGGGCGAAAGCCUGACCGAGCGACGCCGCGUGAGGGAUUGAAGGCCUUCGGGUUGUAAACCUCUUUCGUAGAGGAGGAAGGGGCCGUGAAGAACGGUCUUUGACCUAUUCUAGGAAGAAGCUUGGGCUAAGUUCGUGCCAGCCGCCGCAGUAAUAC
rnacentral:rRNA from 1 species